UUGACUCCAGAUUUUGGACACCAAGAGUUAAGCACAACAGCUUCACCUUCUGGGCCCCUUUGCCCACCCACAACUAGAAGUUCCUUUCCACAAGCCUUGAAAGCCAAACCCCAACCAUUCGAAGAAUCAGCCCUCACAGGUAACCUCCCCAACACAUCCCAAGUGUUUUUCACCUUGUCAUACUUCUUCACCAUGUUAGUUAAAUACUCAACAGCAUAUAGCUGGUUAUCCACAACUGCAACAAGCGGAGGAGCCUGAGCAGCCCUAUUAACAUUUGGAUACAUACCCUCUAUAGUCCUCCAUUUCCUUGUCUCAAAAUCAUACUCCUCCCCACAAGUCAAUGAAACAGUGGGACUUGACAUCCCACCAAUCACAUAGAAUUUGCCAUCCAUAAAAAAUCCAGAGCACAAUCUACGUGGUGAAUGCAUGUUUGGUAGCAUUUCCCAUUUGCCUGUUGAAGAGUCAUACAACUCUGCUGAAUUCAAAAC
rnacentral:misc_RNA from 1 species